rnacentral:lncRNA from 1 species
GGGCAUGGAUUUCUCUGCAAUUCCUAGAAUGGGGGCGGGGGGUGGGGGGAGAGCAGCCCGCAGGGCAGGGGAACCUCUGGGACUCUCUGGGGUCUCAGGUGGGGAUUCUGGGUGAGGGCAGGAAGGGGGGAGAAGCGGGCGGGACCCGGUCUGACACGGGGCUAAAGUUCUUGGAAAUGAAACUUGAAUAUGUUCCACAAGGAGUUCGCGGCCCUUGUUGUAAAACUGCAAACCCGGGGUCUGCAGAGUCCAGUUGCCUCUGGCUCUCUGCUCAUCCUGCUGCCCUCCCCCUGGUCCGAGUCGUUCUGGGUUUUUUGGGUCUUUUUUUGGGUGAAAUUCCUGGAUGAGCACAGGUACUCUUGUCACCUUCCCCCUUUGUGUACCCCUUAAUCCUUGCGGGAGGCCGGGUCUGUCCUGCUCUCUGUGGGUCAAGUUGAACAUUAGAGGCCGCUCCUGGGGCGGAGCCAGGCACCUGUUUCCUUGGGGCUCUUCCGCCUGCCUCCCCGCCUGGAGAAGCCCUGCCCGGAGCACUGUUACUGGGCUCCCCUUAGGGCAGUUUUUCGUGUGCUCAGCAGAGCUGUGCACCCUUGGCCCCUGCUGAGAGCAGAGGAUGCGCGGUGUCGGGGAGAGACGUGGUCCCUGGACGAGGAGUGGCUCCUUGGCGGGGAAGCAGAGGCAGACACAGAGUGCAGCAGCAGCAGCAGCACCUUGGGUGUGUCUGCAGGAUCAGAGGGGUACGGGGGCAGCGGGCAGGGCCAGGCCAGGCCGGGCGGAUGGGACUCGGGGCACAGGGAGGGUGUUGCCGAACUCAAGGCAGGCACCUCCUUGGCCUGCAGCAAAACCCCUUUAACUGACCCUGGGCUGUGCCGAAGGAGAGUAUAGCCUUCAAUGCAAGAAGAUCAGGUGGUUUGUACGCAAGAGACCGGAACUCCCAGAUGGCUUUCAGGGAGUGUUGUUUUGUUUGUUUUGUUUUUUCUUUUUUGGCCAUCCUGUGGCCUGUGGAGUUCCUGGGCCAGGGGUGAGAUCCCAGCCACAGCUGUGGCAGCGCUGGGUUCUUUAACCCACUGAUCCAUGCCAGAGAUGGACCCUGCAUCUGCAGGGGCAGGGCUUCCGAGACGCUGCUGGUCCCCUCACGCUGCAGCAGGAACUCCCAGGGAGGGGUUUUUAGAGGCAGCAUUUGGGGUGAGGGUUGCAGCUCCUGGCCUUUCUUCUGGUUGGUUGGUGCGGACGGAACAGGAAUCGGCUUCGUCAGCCUGGUUCCUGCCAGUCCCGGCUCUGGCGCUUGUGGCCGUGGGUUGUCACUGUCCCCGUCUGGGUGAGGGCUUUGGUUUCUGCAGAAGGGCUUAAAUGCCUGCGUCAGACUGUUCUGUGUCUCCCUUUGAGGAAGAACUAGGACUCGGUCUCAUUCCUUUAUUGUUGAAGGGGAAAUUACUCUUCUUGCUUAAGUGCUUUUCCUUCGUUUCUGCCCUGCCUCCCUUCCCUAGUUAGUAACUGCUUCAGUCUGCUCUUUGGAACCCAGGGAAGGCCGAGCAGACUGAAGUCUUUUUCUGCAAAUAAGAAACAGGGGACACAGAGGGACUUUUGUACCUGGGAGGGCCCCACAGUGUCCUGCUUGGUUUCAUUCUGGCUUUUUAUGGUAGCCCUCCGUCCUGCGGGGAACCAGGCCGGUUAGGAACGGGAAUAGCAUUUUGGAGAGGGGGGUUAGUCGUCACCUUGGAACUUGGCCUCAGGAUUCCCGGGCGGGGAGGAAGAAGCAGGGGGCACACGUGAUGGAGGGCCCAGAACAGGCAAGGGCCCUGAGGUGGGAGGAGUGUCAGGACUUGGGGGAGACAGCGGGAGGGUAAAUCUUGUUUUGGCGGCUCCCCAGGAGCCCUUAAACGCCUGCGCUGCAGCUGAACCUGAAUGCAGGCCUUCCCCCAUCCCCCACCCCGUAACCUGCGGCAUCUCUCGAGCCUCCACCCGUCAAGCAGCCUGCCCCCUUCUGAUGGCCUCGGGAGCAGUUAGUAACAGUGGUCUCCGAGUCCCCUAGGUUUCCCUCUCUCUUAUGGUCCCUUAUGGGGACUUGUUCAACUACCCGUGUGUCUGUCCUGCUCCACCCCGAGCACUUUGUCGUGUUUCUAUCGUGAAUCCAUCAGGAACUCGCUGCCUGUGGGGCGUGAAUGAUCUCUGCUGUCAUUCCGACCUUGUCAUCAUCCUUAUCCACCUGCCCUUCCCGGGCCUGGGCCCCUGUCUGCUCUGCCUGCAGGUCAGUCAGUGGCCGGGUGCUCACUGGGGUGCUGGGUGGUCCUUAUCCACCUGCCCUUCCCGGGCCUGGGUCCCUAUCUGCUCUGCCUGCAGGUCAGUGGCCAGGUACUCACUGGGGUGCUGGGCGGUCCGGGCUUCCUGCUCGCUGGGGGAGCAGGGGCUUCCCUUCCCAGAAUGGGGUGCACCUCCGCCUUCGCGUCCUCCUGCAGGUCUCUCUCAGCUUCCUCACUCUGUUUUUUCUUCUUUCAAGGGUCUUGUAUAUAUUUCUGAAGUCAGUGAUUUCUGUCGUGUCUGUGGAUAACAGCACCGUCUUACCAUUAGACUUUUCUUUUUUUCUUUUUCUUUUUACAGCUGCACCUGCAGCAUAUGGAAGUUCCCAGGUUGGGGGUCGAGUUCGAGCUGCAGCUGCCGGCCUACACCAAGGCCACAGCCGCACCAGCGCUGGGCCGUAUCUGCAGCCUGUGCUGCAGCUUGCCAGAUCCUUAUUCCUCUGAGCGAGGCCGGGGAUCGAACCUGCAUGCUCACGGAUACUAGUCGGGUUCUUAAUCUGUUGAACCACAACCAAACUCCCCGUUAGAAUUUCCGAGUGCAAAGGGGCUGCGAGCCGUGGCCUUGUCUCCCCACCUGGUUAGAGGCCCAUGUUGGCGCUGACUUGUUCCGGCUGGUUGGGCUGCUUUUCAUCUCCAGAUAACUCUGGGCUUGUUCUUUUUCUAGUCAACGUGUACACUGAAUUUCUGUUCCCUCCCCCAGGUUCCAGUACUAGCACUGUAAUCGGGGCUUCCUGGCCCUCAUUUAAUGGGGAGAGAGUUAAAGAGUCUUCCUCGUGUCAUCACCUGCCUUGGUGGGGGGUGCCUUGAGUCAGCCUCAGAGGCCUGCUUAUUUUAUAUCGCAUCACUGAAAUCUCAAUUACCUGCAAGCAGAGAUUCUCCCUCUUAAACUCUAUGCUUUUAAUUUCAUUCCCUUUUUGCCUUUUUUUAGGGCACAUGGAGGUUCCCCAGGCUGGGGGUCCAAUCAGAGCUACCGCUGCCGGCCUACACCACAGCCACAGCCACAGCCAUGCUCUCCAUCCCCGUGGAGCCCCAGGUGUCAGCUGGUGGACGGGCCACCUAGGAGGGGCCUUCGUGGAACGGGGCUGGAGUGUCACUGCCGAGUGCGGCUGAACCUCCCUUGUGUGCUUGGGGUUUGCAGCGUGACGUUGCCCUUCGGGGGGAGCGUUCCAGGGCUUUAACUUCCUCUGUGCCCAUGCCCUUCAUCCUCACGUGCCGCCCCCUCUCUGCCAGGGACGCAUCGGUGUCAGAGCUGAGGGGCAGGUCCUGUCCCCGGGCGUGGCACCCCAGCUCUAACUGCUGCUGAUCCUUUGAGCUGCUCGCAGCUUCUGGCGAUAGCGCUCUGAGCUUUUCUAAUUACUUGGGAAGCUUUGCCUUGUCUUCAGUUCUGUUUCGUUUGUGUAUUUCCCAGGUUGUCUCCCUAAGCAUCUUCCUACUCUGAAAGCGGAGUCAGCUCUGAGAUCGGCGCAAUACCGAAUUUUAUUUUUGCGAUGAAAGGUAUCCUGCGCCCUUUUGAGAAGCCCCAGCCUUCAUUCCACACAGGCUGCACAUCCUCAUCGUGAAAGUUGGGAUUUGUUGAGUGUCUAAAUAGUCACUGUUAUGACUCCAAAUGUUUAGUGUGAGAAAGAAGGAAAACUUUAUAUUAACUCAGGAAUUUCUGGAAGAAAUGAAAGGCACGCAGCAGAAAUCAAGAGGGCCUUUGUUUUCGAAACAUUUGGGAAGUAAAUUAGGACAUUUAUGUCUUGCCCACAUUCGUAUAGUCUUUAAGAUUCCCAGCUCAUGUCGUGUUUGGCUGUGAAGCUGCGAGAGAAGCGGUGUUUGCCUGAUGGGCGAUUCGCGCCCAGAGAGUUCCCGCUCCUCCAGGAGUGUGUGUGCAGCUGGCCAGGUCUGGUGGGGGUCCUGCGCCCCCACCCCAUGGGGCUCAUGGAAACAGCGCCUGGAGGUUUAUUGCUGAGGAGAUGCUGUGUCUGAGUAACUCCUUUCAGUGCAUUAGGUUCAAAUGUCCUAGUGUCACUGUCUUGUGCAAAGGUCAGUGUCCACCGUCUCAGGCGGAAGUGGUUGAUGUGAUGACCAGCUUGGCAGGCACCUCUGCGUCCUCCUUCUCUAACUGAAGAUUCUUUUUCCUGCUGCAAAACCUGAAUCUGUGCUCACGUCGGCGGCACAUACAUGAAAAUUGGAACAGCACAGGGAAGAUUAGCAGGGCCCCUGGCAGGCAAGGGUGACACACAUUCCCAAAGCCUUCCAUCAUUUUAGAUGCAACCCGUGACAUGUAGAACGGACGAACUGUGGGUCCCACUGUACAGCACAGGGCACUGGCCAAUCACUUGUGAUGGAGCCUGAUGGAGACAACAGGAGAAAAAGAAUGUGUGUGUCCGUAUGACCGGGCCGCUGUGCUGUACGGCAGAAAUUGGCACAACAUGGUAAAUCACCUCCACUCUACUUUAAAAAAUUUUUAAAAACAAAUUCUUAUCUGUCACUCUUUUUAAAAAAAAGUAGAUCCCCCGAACGUCUCUUGUCAGCUGGAAGGCAUGUGCGUGAAAGCUGAAUUUGGACUGGUCCUGGGGCACUGGGGUUGGCAUCCAGGGCAGGCUUGGGGUUCUCUGCAGAAGAAGGAGAGUUUUGGGACUAGGAGAAUUAGAGGGAUCACGGGCACGUUGACCCCCUGUGCAUUUCCCAGCCUGCCAGCCCAUUGCCGUCUCAGGGACCCUCACACCGUAGUCCCCGCCACGGUGCAGUGGGUUAAGACCCUGACUCCAGCAGCUCGAGUCGCUGUGGAGUGUGGGCUUGGCAUGGUGGGUUAAAGGAUCUGGCGUUGUCAUAACUGUGGUGUAGGUCGCAGCUGCAGCUUUGAUUCAGUCCCUGGCCUGGGAACUUCCAUGUGCUGUGGGUGCGGCCAUAAAAUUUAAAGAAUCAGGAGUUCCCGUCGUGGCGCAGUGGUUAACGAAUCCGACUAGGAACCAUGAGGUUGCGGGUUCGGUCCCUGCCCUUGCUCAGUGGGUUAACGAUCCGGCGUUGCCAUGAGCUGUGGUGUAGGUUGCAGACGCGGCUCGGAUCCCGCGUUGCUGUGGCUCUGGCGUAGGCUGGUGGCUACAGCUCCGAUUCAACCCCUAGCCUGGGAACCUCCAUAUGCCGCGGGAGCAGCCCAAGAAAUAGCAA